UGCCAGCAGCCGCGGUAAUACGGAGGGAGCUAGCGUUGUUCGGAAUUACUGGGCGUAAAGCGCACGUAGGCGGAUUAGUAAGUGUGGAGUGAAAGCCCACGGCUCACCCGUGGAAUUGCUUUGCAAACUGUAUGGCUCGAGGAUGGUAGGGGAGAGCGGAACUCUUGGUGGAGCGGUGAAAUGCGUAGAUAUCAAGAGGAACACCGGUGGCGAAGGCGGCUCUCUGGUCCAUUUCUGACGCUGAGGUGCGAAAGCUAGGGUAGCGAACGGGAUUAGAUA
rnacentral:rRNA from 1 species